UGGUAAUUAGUUUAAAUCAAAACAAGUGAUUUCG
rnacentral:tRNA from 1 species